AUCCAAUUGGCUGACAUGCAUAACAUGAGUGCAGUUAUUUAAGCCCACAAUGUUGUGGCAAAAAAGUAUACAACAAAAGAAUUCAAGGUAGACACAUCUCUUAUAGGCCUAUCCAGCAGGAAAAAAACUAAGUUUGCCGUUUGGAACACAAAUUUCCUCAGGGUCCCACAAACUACGGGCCGGGAGGAUAUUAUUCUAAUCACUUGACAAGAGUGAUUAGAAGAUCUAAGUCAUCAUAUCCUGGUGUUUUAAAAUCAAGCAGUAUGGUGUCAGAAGAAGCAGUAGAAGAACAAAGGGCAACUCUGCAAGCAACAUGGAAACAAACACCCCUAACAGUAACAAUAGCAAUGACAGUCGCAGUAGCUGCAGUAGUAGUAGCAAUGGUGGGAACAACAAUAGCUGAAGCAGUAGUAGGAGCAACAGGAGGAGCAGCAGCAGCAGCUGGAACUGGCAUUUUACAAUCACUAUGGGAAGAAAGUAGAACAGGAGCAGCAGCAGUAGCAGUAACAGCAGUUGCAGGAGGCCUGGCAGGAACAGCAGCAGCAAUCUUGCGAUCACUGGUAGCAGCACAAUCAUUAACAGGAUCAGCAGUAGCUGGAGCAAUGGCAGGAGCUGCAAUAGUAGCAAUAGCAAGAACACAAUUACAGUGGGUGAUAAAUAUACUACAGAUGGCAACAGAUAAACUACAGUGGGUUUUAGCCUUUGUUAAAAGAGUAAAAGCAGCAGUACAAAGGGGUAGAAAAGUAUUACCCACAGCAACACUAAUUGUAGGAUCAGGAUCAGCAGCAAUAGCAGCAGCAACAGCAUCAUCAGGAGGAACAUCACAAGCACAAUCAGCAUUAUCAGGAGGAGCAUCACAAGCAGA